rnacentral:tRNA from 1 species
UCCCUGGUGGUUCAGUGGUUAAGACGCUGAGCUUCCGCUGCAGGGGAUGUGGGUUCAAUUCCUGGCCAGGGAA